GCGGAGGGAGCCAAGUGGAUCAAGGCAGUGGAUUGUGAAU
rnacentral:tRNA from 1 species